rnacentral:rRNA from 1 species
UCGGGAAUUUUGCUCAAUGGGGGAAACCCUGAAGCAGCAACGCCGCGUGAGGGAUGAAGGCCUUCGGGUUGUAAACCUCUUUUGUCAGGGACGAUGAUGACGGUACCUGGCGAAUAAGCCACGGCUAACUACGUGCCAGCAGCCGCGGUAAUACGUAGGUGGCAAGCGUUGUCCGGAUUUACUGGGCGUAAAGAGCGCGCAGGCGGUCGGGUAAGUCGAAUGUGAAAGCCCCUGGCUCAACCAGGGAGGGUCAUUCGAUACUGUCCGACUCGAAGGCAGGAGAGGGAAGCGGAAUUCCGGGUGUAGUGGUGAAAUGCGUAGAUAUCCGGAGGAACACCAGUGGCGAAGGCGGCUUUCUGGCCUGUUCUUGACGCUGAGGCGCGAAAGCUAGGGGAGCAAACGGGAUUAGAUACCCCGGUAGUCCUAGCCGUAAACGAUGGACACUAGGUGUUGGUGGUAUCAACCCCGCCAGUGCCGAAGCUAACGCAUUAAGUGUCCCGCCUGGGGAGUACGGCCGCAAGGCU